CUCAUUCCAGCCCUAAUCUUCCCAACAAAGAAAUCGACCAGCCAUGAGUAGGCGACGACGAAGAUAGAAGCCAGAAGCUGCGUUCCAGACGUGGUUUCAGUCGGCGCUUCAAACUGUGAAACCGGGAUUAGACGGUUAGCACUUUCUGUCCACGCACAUAUUAGUUGCUGUAGAGGUGGCAGCUUUGACCCAUUUGAUUGGGUCAAUUCGAGGUAUGUUUUAUCUUUCUACAAAAAAUCCAUAAAAAUAAAAAAGAUAUUGCCUUAAAAUGAACCUGGUCAAAAGUCAUCCAAAUUUAUUGUGCAAAGCUCAUCCUUUAUGGAGAUUCAUCGUUUGCCAAUCUAACUCCUAGGAUACUAAAGCCUGUUGAUGAACUUUUUGUUGAUUUUAAGGUACAAAGGGUUUCAGGUAAUAGGGCGAACUGGAAAUUAAAAGGUAUUAAACGUGAUUCUGACGGAAAUUGAUAAUAUGAUUGGACUGUAGAUCGCCCCUGCUGAUUUAGAGGAUGUUCUAGCAACUCAUCCAGCCAUUCUUGACGCUGCAGUAACAGGUGAUUGGAAGAUCGGGAAGCUUUACAAAUAAGACAAUUUGCAUCAUCUAGUUGAGACUUAUAAGCUUCAAAAAGUUCAGGCGGAACUAGAAAGAGAACGUGAGGCCUGACAAAAAUAGAAGCUCGUUUCGAACUAUUUCAACAAGAGCGUGAAAAAGAGUGGGCCGACCAAGACGCAUGGCGAAAAAAUAUGGAAGAAAUGGU
rnacentral:lncRNA from 1 species